rnacentral:misc_RNA from 1 species
AACUUUUAACAAUGGAUCUCUUGGCUCUCGCAUCGAUGAAGAACGCAGCGAAAUGCGAUAAGUAAUGUGAAUUGCAUAAUUCAGUGAAUCAUCGAAUCUUUGAACGCACCUUGCGCUCCUUGGUAUUCCGGGAAGCAUGCCUGUUUGAGUGUCAUUAAAAUAUUUCAAACUUCUCUUGUUGAGUUGUUUGGAUGUGGGGGUUUGCUGGCCUCUUAAAGGGGUUCAGCUCUCCUGAAAUGCAUUAGCAGAACAACCUGUUCAUUGGUGUGAUAACUAUCUACGCUAUUGAAUGUGAAGGGAAGUUCAGCUUUCUAACAGUCUUUGGACAAAUUCAUCAUUAAUGUGACCUCAAAUCAGGUAGGACUACCCGCUGAACUUAAGCAUAUCAAUAAGCGGAGGCU